rnacentral:rRNA from 1 species
AUUGAACGCUGGCGGCAUGCUUUACACAUGCAAGUCGAACGGUAACAGGCCGCAAGGUGCUGACGAGUGGCGAACGGGUGAGUAAUGCAUCGGAACGUGCCCAGUCGUGGGGGAUAACUACUCGAAAGAGUAGCUAAUACCGCAUACGAUCUAUGGAUGAAAGCGGGGGACCGUAAGGCCUCGCGCGAUUGGAGCGGCCGAUGUCAGAUUAGGUAGUUGGUGGGGUAAAGGCUCACCAAGCCAACGAUCUGUAGCUGGUCUGAGAGGACGACCAGCCACACUGGGACUGGGAACCGGCCAGGACUCCUAGGGGAGGCAGAGGGGGGAAAUUUGGGAAAAUGGGCGCAACCCUGUCCCAGAAAUGCGGCGGGCAGAAAAAAGGCCUUCGGGUUGUAAACUGCUUUUUUACGGAACAAAACGGCUCUGGUUAAUACCCGGGGCUAAUGACGGUCCCGAAAGAAUAAGCCCCGGCAACCUCCGU